rnacentral:lncRNA from 1 species
AGUCCCUUCCCACCCCUCUUGCUUGUCUUACUUGUCUUAUUUAUUCUCCAACAGCACUCCAGGCAGCCCUUGUCCACGGGCUCUCCUUGCAUCAGCCAAGCUUCUUGAAAGGCCUGUCUACACUUGCUGUCUUCCUUCCUCACCUCCAAUUUCCUCUUCAACCCACUGCUUCCUGACUCGCUCUACUCCGUGGAAGCACGCUCACAAAGGUAAAGACUUUUCUGUGGCUUAAUCCUUGUCAUGUUUUCGGCUCAUGGACACAAGGACACAUUUUCAUGCCUUCUCUCACAGGGCUCUGCGUCUCCGGUUCACUUCUGUGUCUUUACACUCCCUUCACAGAGACACUUGCUCCCCCUUCUCUCGUUCUUAGCAUCCCCUAGGAACUUGCACACCCAGGUCUCUCGACUUCUGGACCUGCUUCUUACCAUGCCGUCUUAAGCAGUCAGGAGUCGCUGCCUGGGUUCGAGUCCUAGUUAAAUUACUUAGUGCUGAGACCUUGGGGUAGGUAAACUUUUCCAAGCCAGGUUUAUCUCAGUUUCAAAAUAGGGUUAAUCGUCUUUAUCUGGCAGGUCAGGUGGGAUGUCUCACAGGUAAGCACCAGAUGCCAUUUGAAAGGCUUGAAGCAAAGUCAAUAAAGCAUUCAUGGGAAAAUACAACUGGAGGCACCACUAGAUUUUCGUAUACAUUAGGUUCCCACGGGGAGGACCGAAGAGAGAAGAAAGAAGUGGAAAGGGAGGAGCGUGCAGGAGAGACAGGAGAAGAGAAUAACUAAACAAAGACAUUAAAGACAAAAAAAAAGUAGGAAAGGGAGACUUAGAAAAUAUUAAAAGCCACCAAAAACACAUCCAAAGACGGUUUCCCCUUACGUUAGUUGGGCUAAAAGAAAGCAAAUGGGAAGAAGGUUUUAAAUUGAUUAUCCCAGUGACAAAUCCCAGGAAGCUUUCACAUCAAAUCACCCUAUUCUGGGUUUUUAACUCCUUCCAUCGAGUUUAACCUCUUUACCUCCCACAUCCUGGUAAACCCUGCCCCCUCCCUACCGCCCCCUUUGCUGGUGAUUAAAUCCUGAAGGUACACGAAGUAUUUCAGUGAAUGAAUGGCUAACAGAAAAGGGCCUCCCCUCCCCCUUACCCUGGCGGUGUUUUUCAGUUUUAUUCCACUUUCCGCCCUUUUCCCUUAAUGAACACAGGGCUAAUCUCGGGCCUUGUCGAAGGAAGAGGCUGCAGACGUUAAUGAGGUUAGCUGCUGGAUUCCAGUAUUCGUCGCAUAAGGAUCCUUCUUUGUCUGCGAAGGAAAAACACACUGAUUAUCAUAAUGAGGCACGUGGGCCGUGGCCCGGCUGGGUCGGCUGAAGAACUGCGGAUGGAAGCUGCGGAAGAGGCCCUGAUGGGGCCCACCAUCCCGGACCCAAGUCUUCUUCCUGGCGGGCCUCUCGUCUCCUUCCUGGUUUGGGCGGAAGCCAUCACCUGGAUGCCUACGUGGGAAGGGACCUCGAAUGUGGGACCCCAGCCCCUCUCCAGCUCGAAAUCGGCAGACUAGGAUGGAAGUGCCCUGUGAGCUGGGGGGCCCUUCAAAGGGCCAAGGAGAAAACGCAGGCCGAGGGACCAGCCUUCCAAAUGGGCUUCAAGCUCCAAUGACCUCCGCUCGCCCCCUCGAAAUGUCUGGAAAACAUAAUGGGCAGAUUUUCUGUCUUCAAAGUUUCCGGCUAAACCUCUUCAAGUUCUUUAUUGUUUGGGACUGAGACACUCAGCCAUGUUAAUGGGUAGUUUCUUUUGUAUUUGCCUUGAAAGGCCAAAAUAUUUUUAUAUUGCCACAGACAAAGCCACCUAUUUAAAAAUGAACUCCAUGUCCGUCGUUUCCCACCAGGAGACUAUGUACCAUGUGUGUGUCUCUAUGUAUUCUGGGGUCUUGAAACAGGUUUCUCAUGGGGAUGGUCAUUCACCACGGUCCAGAGGGGCAGAACAGGCGGCGCUUGCCUUGCCCAGGGGGCCUGGGGAACGUGGGCCCUCAUCUCAGAUCUGCCCCCAGUAUGUUUAGGACGCGAGCCCCAGAAGGAUCUGGGAGUAAACUUAACAUUCACUGUGUCUCUGCUCUGCAUCCGCCAUUUGUGUGUGUUUCUGGACUGUGGGCUGUGUGUACCUUGGUUGGUGACUCAGUGAGAAGAAGCAGGAAUGCCAAAGAUACUGUGAAUGUUCUGAGUUUUGUUGCUGUUGUUGUUGAGAGGUUGUUUCACUGGUAUCUAUUGCAUUGUAUAAUAAAUGACCAGAUGAAUGAAUGAGUGAAGCAAGAGAGAAUGAAUAAACAAGUAAAUAGGUAAAGAAGUAAGCAAGCCAGGAUGAGAGUGUGUGUACACAAGACCAUGGUUCAUCCGCUUUGAUGGCUAGGCAAUCAAUAUAUAAAUAGAAAAAAACCAGUGAAUCACUAAGUAAUAGGGCAACACACAAAGCGAUAUCAGGUGAUUAUGGACUAAGGGGUAUGUGUAACUCAAAUAUAUGCCUCUGACAUUUGACAAUGAAAAAGAACCUAAAUGAAAGAAAGAAUGGAUGUAUGAGUAGUGAAGUGCAGAAUGAGACAUAGAUUUUGAGGCCCGUCAAAAUGAAAAGAUGCAAGUUAGGGAACAAGUGAUCAAAAGGGAGAAGGGAAAGGUUUUUUUUAAAAAACCAAAACAACAAAGAAAGGUUAAAAAAAAAAACAGACUAGAGGAUGAGUAAUGAGUAACUCUGUAAGGAGGACCAUGUCAGACUAUUGUAAGCUAAGCAUUAGGACUGAUACAAAUAAUAUAUGCUCCUGGCAUAGAAAAAUAAACCACAGAGAACGAGUUCAAAGAAUAGCAAAGAAAGAAAGAGGACCCAGUGGGCGAAAGAUGAGAGUGUACUUUUACCAAAAGUUAUCUAAGCCUGAGCACUUGAAGUCUGCACAUAAAUAAAUAAAUGACAAAAGAAAGAAAAAAAGGCCAAAAAGUCUACAUUGCGUGUGUGGAUGGAUGAAUGAGCAGUGGGAGUGCAGCGCCAGGUGACAAGAUGUUGUGAGGGGUUUUGAGUCAUCCAGUCCUGGGCACUGAGGUCUGUUAGAUGAAAGGAUAUGAGAAAGGUAAUAUUGGUAAAUAAAGAAAUAGGAAACAAUGUAACAAAUGUUAAGUACAGAAAUACAUUAAUGGGUGGUAAAUAAAGAUGUAAAAGAAGGCAAUGCGAUCGAUGGUGGCAAAAGAUCAUCACAGAUUAAGGGCUAUGGCUGGUCCACUUCUAGAAAACCACAGGCUGUCCAUUAAAUAAUGAACAUCUAAGUGAACAAGUCAGUGAGUACCUAAAUAGACAAGGAUGAGGUGAAUGAGAAGACAUGGCCCCAUGGGUCCUCCUGAUGAGGGUGUUGGGGUCCCCCCUGGGCACCCCAGCUGCAUGAAAAUGAAGGACAGGAGGUAUGGAAAGCUAUGACAGAAGAGAGAAAGGAACGGUAAAAAGAAAUAACAACCAAAUGGAUAAAUGGGUAGAUCCACGAGAAGAGUUAGGCUAGGACUUGUCAUAAGGGCACCUGACUCCACUAAUAGAGGAAUAAAUGCCUAAUAAAAAGAGAGCAAGCAGGAAGGAAGGAUGCUAUGAAUGCAGGAAGGAAGUAAUGAGUGAGACGUGGAACCGCACGGCCAAGGAUGGACGUUUGCGGGUGGCUUUUUGAUGCGUACAGCCAAGCCACUCCAUGGCAAUGAGCUCCGAAGACAAAGUGCAAGAGAGAAUGAGUGAGAGAGUGAGAGAGAGAGAAACAAUAAAAAAUGGGAAGAAAUGUAAAAAGGAAGAAAGGAAGAGAGGUAAUAUAUUAAGGAAUAAAUACAUGCAUGCAGAUUUAAGACAGAGCCAUGCUAGAACAGGAAUGAAAGGCUGUGUGAACCAAGCAGACCGCUUAAUUGGCACCAGUGCUGCUGGUAUGGUCAAUCACCUACUCAACUAAGGAACGGCUCAAAGCAUACACAUGGGAGGGAGGAGUGGGGCCACAGAGAGAGGGCCCAUUAGUUGCAGAUUACGAUGUAUCCAGUUAGGUGCACCUGCCUUCGAGAAGUGUAAAAAUAAGUAUUUACAUAGAAAGAAAGACUGAAUGGAUGCACGGUGAAUGCAUGAAUGAUUGAACGACAGAAAAGAUUUGCAUUGACCGAUGAGGAGGGCAUUGUAGACAGGGAUGAGGGUCAUUGAUCCUGGGUGCAGAUCUCCAAAAGAAUGACAGAAAGAAAGAGGGAGUGGUGGAAAGAAACAAUAGGAUGGGAAAAAAUGAAAAUAGAAAAAAGGAAGUGAAAGAGAUAAUAAAUAAUUAGAUCAAAUAAGUUGAUGAAAGGGGACUGGUUUAGCACAAGCCAUCCACAUUAAUUCAAACCUGUGGCUCUGAAGUUUGUUUUUUAAAUGACCACAAGUGUAAGACUGAAUGAAAGAAUAAAUGCGUGCAUUCCAUAGGAUGCAAGAAAAGGAGUGAGGAAUGGGAAAAUUGGAAGAACGAGAGAGGGAGAGAUGUAAGAAAAGAAAGGAAAAGUGAAGUAGGCAUAUGAAAGAAAAGGCACUUCUUGGACAAGCACUGAAAUAUAAUGAGACAGUUUUACCCAUUAAAUAUAAUAAACAGUAAACGUUGAGGUUCAUCAAUAAAAGCACAGAUACCUGAAUAGAGGAGUGACCUGAAUAGAAUUCGUUCAGCCGAACGAAUGAGAAUGGAUGAUUUUCACUAUCCUGUGCACUCAAGGCCCAAAAGAGAAAGCAAGAGAGGAGAGAAUAUGGAAACGUAUGACAGGAUGUAUAUAAGCAAUACAAACAUAUUGAAUGAAUAAAUAAAGACAUAAAUAUGUGGGAGAGUGGACCACGCAAGGACAAAAAGAGGAGAGAAGGCAGCAAGAAUUAUGACUAAUUCAAAACUGGGUUCCUGAGAUAGUUAAAUAAAUCCUGCACCAAAUCCCCAGGGGGAGAAAUUAACAAACAAAAGACAGCCCCACACGGACCAGUGUGCAGAAGGCUCCAGGAACCGCAGAUUAUGGUUAAUCCAAUUCUGUGCACCUGAGGUCCAUAAAUAAAAGAAUAAGUAUUGAAAUGAAAGAAUGACAGAAAGAAUGAAUGGACACAUGAACGACUGAAUUAGAAAUGGAAAUGCCUGGCACAGCCAGGAAGGAGCUGCCCAUGGGAUUGUCAUUCAUCUCACUCUGGGCACCUGAGGUCCAUAAGCGUGAAAAGAGGCAGGAAGAGAAGUGUCAGGGAGUCAAAGAUAGAGCUAAGGAAAGGCAAAAAUGAAACUAAAUGAAAGCGAAAGGGAAAAUAAAGAAAAACCAAUAAAAAAGAGAACGAAUACGUGGGUGUAUCUGUAAGAGUAGGAUCUGUUAGGAUUAGUCAUAAGACUGUCAGUAAUCCUGAAGAUGGAUGAGAUAAUCCAGGCCCAGGUUCCCAGGGGGAGGGAAAAUGGAGAAAAUAUAAAAAGAUGUGAAAAAGGAAAAAGGAAAGGUAAUAAACAAACAACCAAAGUGAUAAAUGGAUAGUUAAGGGAGGUUGUCUGAACAGGGAUUAUAAUUAGUUUACAUACAUACUCCUUAAACAGAUAAAUACAUUACACCUUUCAAAGAAUAAAUGAAAAAUAGAGAGACAUACCUGGCUCCAAAACAAGGCUGUAUCUUCUGCCACUGUAAUAAAAUAGAUGCAAUUGAGGUUCAUAAAUAAAAGAAUAAAUACUUAAACGUGAAAGGUGACUAAAUGCGGGGAAGAAAGAUUGCAAAUAAAUACAUGGGCCAAAGAUGUUUGGUUUGCCCAUGGAGUUUUAAUUAAAAAAAUUAAUAAGGAAAACAAAUACCCAAAAUAAGGAAGACUGACAAAUGAGUGAGUGGAUGAGAGAGUGAAUGGUGCUUGACGUAGGAGCAGUAGUGCUUUAGGGACCAGCAUGAAGGUGGUGACCGGGAGCCCUGAUUCAUGGGAUUCUGUCCACCUGACUUUAUAAGAACCAAGAAUGGCUGGGAAUGGUGGCUCACGCCUGUAAUCCC